rnacentral:misc_RNA from 1 species
CCGAGUGAGGGCCCUCUGGGUCCAACCUCCCACCCGUGUUUAUUUACCUUGUUGCUUCGGCGGGCCCGCCUCACGGCCGCCGGGGGCACCCGCCCCCGGGCCCGUGCCCGCCGAAGACACCAAUGAACUCUGUCUGAAGAUUGCACUCUGAGCGAUUAGCUAAAUCAGUUA